rnacentral:rRNA from 1 species
GACGAACGCUGGCGGCGUGCUUAACACAUGCAAGUCGAACGGUAAGGCCCUUCGGGGUACACGAGUGGCGAACGGGUGAGUAACACGUGGGUGAUCUGCCCUGCACUUCGGGAUAAGCCUGGGAAACUGGGUCUAAUACCGGAUAGGACCCUGGGAUGCAUGUCCUGGGGUGGAAAGCUUUUGCGGUGUGGGAUGGGCCCGCGGCCUAUAAGCUUGUUGGUGGGGUGAUGGCCUACCAAGGCGACGACGGGUAGCCGGCCUGAGAGGGUGACCGGGCACACGGGGACGGAGAUACGGCCCAGACUCCUACAGGAGGCAGCAGUGGGGAAUAUUGCACAAUGGGCGCAAGCCUGAUGCAGGGACGCCGCGUGAGGGAUGACGGCCUUCGGGUUGUAAACCUCUUUCAGCACCGACGAAGCGCAAGUGACGGUAGGUGCAGAAGAAGGACCGGCCAACUACGUGCCAGCCGCCGCCGUAA